CAGACGCCAACGCAUGCGCAGAGUGCAGAUUACGUCAGCAAUUACGUCAGAUCUUGUGACAAGAUGAACAAACACAGGUACCGCCCACAAACACAGGUACCGCCCACAAACACACCUGCCACCCAAAGAGAAACUUAGUUAUUUUCCAUAAGCCCCAGUUUGCACAGAACCCUAGGAUCAUAAACUUAAAGAAAUAGACAGGGAGGACCCCACUCUUUUCUCUCUGUUUGUAGAUCUGCAGUGCACACCUCGACUGUAGAACUGCAACAAGACGGCUGUCUUUGUGGCUUCAGUGCCUAGUUCUGGGCUACAGGGAGUCUCUUGAUGUGAGUCUUUCCUGAUCACCACGGGCUCUGGUCCUGUGUGCGGCUCAGAACCCCCCAAGGUGUGUGUUGCUGCAGACGUUCGAGAACAGCGUCACUGAUCAGCUGAACCGACUGCAAGAAAACUCAACCAGCCUGAAUGCCAUAAACACACAGAUCUUGAAUUUUAUCCAGUCGGAGAUGCAGCGACUGGGCUCCUUCUGCGACGAACAUCUGCAGAGGUUGAAGUCUUUGGAAGGUGGAGAGCCUGGGCCGUCCGGCCACUGAAGGAGGAGAAUAGUUUUGUUUUUGUGUCUUGAGUUAAAUAGUCAAUUUCUUCUCUGAAGGCAGAAAAACUAAUAAAAGCAAAGUUGACUUGAAAACCA